GACGAACGCUGGCGGCGUGCCUAAUACAUGCAAGUUGAGCGCUGAAGGUUGGUACUUGUACCAACUGGAUGAGCAGCGAACGGGUGAGUAACGCGUGGGGAAUCUGCCUUUGAGCGGGGGACAACAUUUGGAAACGAAUGCUAACACCGCAUAAAAACUUUAAACACAAGUUUUAAGUUUGAAAGAUGCAAUUGCAUCACUCAAAGAUGAUCCCGCGUUGUAUUAGCUAGUUGGUGAGGUAAAGGCUCACCAAGGCGAUGAUACAUAGCCGACCUGAGAGGGUGAUCGGCCACAUUGGGACUGAGACACGGCCCAAACUCCUACGGGAGGCAGCAGUAGGGAAUCUUCGGCAAUGGACGAAAGUCUGACCGAGCAACGCCGCGUGAGUGAAGAAGGUUUUCGGAUCGUAAAACUCUGUUGGUAGAGAAGAACGUUGGUGAGCGUGGAAAGCUCAUCAAGUGACGGUAACUACCCAGAAAGGGACGGCUAACUACGUG
rnacentral:rRNA from 1 species